AUUGAACGCUGGCGGCAGGCCUAACACAUGCAAGUCGAACGAGUGGCGGACGGGUGAGUAAUGUCUGGGAAACUGCCUGAUGGAGGGGGAUAACUACUGGAAACGGUAGCUACUACCGCAUACCAUCGGAUGUGCCCAGAUGGGAUUAGCUAGUAGGUGGGGGAAAGGCUCACCUGGGCGACGAUCCCUAGCUGGUCUGAGAGGAUGACCCGCCACACUGGAACUGAGACCCGGUCCAGACUCCUACGGGAGGCAGCAGUGGGGAAUAUUGCACAAUGGGCGAAAGCCUGAUGCAGCCAUGCCGCGUGUAUUAAGAAGGCCUUCGGGUUUUAAAGUACUUUCAGCGGGGAGGCGUUACCCGCAGAAGAAGCACCGGCUAACUCCGUGCCAGCAGCCGCGGUAAUAC
rnacentral:rRNA from 1 species